CACCUAUCUCUCUCUCUGCUCUGUGUCAUCUGUGCUCUCUGGGCACCAUCUCAGAAUUCAAUGCGCUAUACUUACUCGGGAGAAGCAAGUGAAGAGUUUGACAAGGAUGAUAAUACUUUGACACUCAUAAAACCAUCUCCUAUGCCUUCAAAGGAUAUUCGAAGUCCACUUGAAGUCGGAUCAGUACCCGGUGGAAACAAUAGGGUAUCGAACGGUGAUUUGGAAGAAGACGAGACAGAAUAAUUUGAAACCCAACUCUGUUUGAUUGUGAGAAGCUAUUUAACUCCGAAUGAUCAUCAUGAUGGAUAUGAAGUUGCUACAUGUAGAAUUUAUGUGA